rnacentral:rRNA from 1 species
UACGUAGGGGGCGAGCGUUGUCCGAAGUUACUGGGCGUAAAGCGCGCGUAGGCGGCUUUGCAAGUCGGGUGUGAAAUCCCCAGGCUUAACCUGGGAACUGCAUUCGAGACUGCAUUGCUAGAGUAUGGGAGAGGGAAGUGGAAUUUCCGGUGUAGCGGUGAAAUGCGUAGAUAUCGGAAGGAACAUCAGUGGCGAAAGCGACUUCCUGGACCAAUACUGACGCUCAUGUGCGAAAGCGUGGUGAGCAAACAGG